GGGUCGGUAGCUCAGCGGUAGAGCAGCGGACUCAUAAUCCGUCAGACCCGGGUUCGAAUCCCGGCCGACCCA
rnacentral:tRNA from 1 species